CAUUUAACUCCCUUGCUCAACCUGUCGCCUUCCCCAAAGCAUCUUUGGAGGCGCACAUAGCCCUCAUACCCAAGCCUGGCAAAGACCCGACCAAUUGCGGUAGCUACCGCCCAAUAUCUCUGAUAAAUCUUGAUGUGAAAUUGUUCACAAAAAUAUUGGCCACCCGCUUGAAACCUUUACUCCAAACCUUGAUACACUCCGACCAAGCGGGCUUCGUUCCCAACAGAGAAGCAAAACACAACACCACAAAAAUUUUAAACUUGAUAUAUUUGGCAAAACGCCUACCAACGGAGAGCCUCCUGCUCUCAAUCGACGCGGAAAAGGCGUUCGAUAGAGUGGACUGGACACUACUGACUGCCACCCUGAGCAAAAUAGGAUUUGGUCCCAAAUGGUUGGACUGGAUGCAAGCCAUCUAUUCCAAUCCCACAGCCAGACUAAGGGUAAAUGGACAACUCUCGGAACCAGUACUCAUUAGAAACGGCACGAGACAGGGCUGUCCCCUCUCCCACCUCCUCUUUAUCCUCAUACUGGAACCCUUCUUAAACGGAAUCCGGGACAACCCGGCUAUCAGGGGUAUUCAAAUACAAGGGGCGGAGUACAAAAUCUCAGCUUUCGUUGAUGAUCUACUCUUCACCAUACAAACUCCUGACACUUCCUUGCCCCCACUCCUAGAGGAAAUAGCCCAAUACCAUAAACUCUCCAAUUUUCAGGUAAAUUUCUCCAAAAGCGAAAUCCUACCAAUCCGAAUAGCGCCCCUCUCACGCACAAGCCUGCAAGCCGCAUUUCCCUUCACAUGGGCGGAUAAAUCCAUUAUAUACCUGGGAGUUCGUCUGCCGGCGGAUCUCUCUUCCAUCUUCACACUAAACUACGACCCACUAUACCAAACUAUCUCAAAAGACCUGCAAAACUGGCAAAAACCACAGUUCUCAUGGCUAUGUAGAAUCAAUAUUCUUAAAAUGAACUCCCUCCCCAAGAUACUAUACCUUUUCCAAACCCUACCGAUAGCAAUACCAAAGCCCUUUUUCACAAAACUUAGGCAACUUUUCACCGCUUUUAUAUGGGCACAGAAACAACCUAGAAUUCCAUAUGAGGUUCUCACCAGACACAAGUCAUGUGGAGGCCUGGGCCUCCCACACAUGGAAAGGUACUACAGGGCAACCAUUCUUUCCAGGAUUCACGACUGGUCCACGCACCCUCCGGCACGCCAAUGGGUAACCCUUGAAAGUGCAGUGAGCCUAGUACCUCUUUACACACUCCCCUGGCAAAGAGUAAUUCCCUCAAAAUUGCUUUCCUGUUGCUCCGCACAC